rnacentral:rRNA from 1 species
GGUUAAGCGACUAAGCGUACACGGUGGAUGCCCUGGCAGUCAGAGGCGAUGAAGGACGUGCUAAUCUGCGAAAAGCGUCGGUAAGGUGAUAUGAACCGUUAUAACCGGCGAUGUCCGAAUGGGGAAACCCAGUGCAAUUCGUUGCACUAUCGUUAACUGAAUACAUAGGUUAACGAGGCGAACCGGGGGAACUGAAACAUCUAAGUACCCCGAGGAAAAGAAAUCAACCGAGAUUCCCCCAGUAGCGGCGAGCGAACGGGGAGCAGCCCAGAGUCUGAAUCAGCUUGUGUGUUAGUGGAACGGUCUGGAAAGUCCGACGGUACAGGGUGAUAGUCCCGUACACCAAAAUGCACAGGUUGUGAACUCGAAGAGUAGGGCGGGACACGUGGUAUCCUGUCUGAAUAUGGGGGGACCAUCCUCCAAGGCUAAAUACUCCUGACUGACCGAUAGUGAACCAGUACCGUGAGGGAAAGGCGAAAAGAACCCCGGCGAGGGGAGUGAAAAAGAACCUGAAACCGUGUACGUACAAGCAGUGGGAGCACCUUCGGGUGUGACUGCGUACCUUUUGUAUAAUGGGUCAGCGACUUAUAUUCUGUAGCAAGGUUAACCGUGUAGGGGAGCCGCAGGGAAACCGAGUCUUAACUGGGCGUUAAGUUGCAGGGUAUAGACCCGAAACCCGGUGAUCUAGCCAUGGGCAGGUUGAAGGUUGGGUAACACUAACUGGAGGACCGAACCGACUAAUGUUGAAAAAUUAGCGGAUGACUUGUGGCUGGGGGUGAAAGGCCAAUCAAACCGGGAGAUAGCUGGUUCUCCCCGAAAGCUAUUUAGGUAGCGCCUCGUGAACUCAUCUUCGGGGGUAGAGCACUGUUUCGGCUAGGGGGUCAUCCCGACUUACCAACCCGAUGCAAACUACGAAUACCGAAGAAUGUUAUCACGGGAGACACACGGCGGGUGCUAACGUCCGUCGUGAAGAGGGAAACAACCCAGACCGCCAGCUAAGGUCCCAAAGUCAUGGUUAAGUGGGAAACGAUGUGGGAAGGCACAGACAGCCAGGAUGUUGGCUUAGAAGCAGCCAUCAUUUAAAGAAAGCGUAAUAGCUCACUGGUCGAGUCGGCCUGCGCGGAAGAUGUAACGGGGCUAAACCAUGCACCGAAGCUGCGGCAGCGACACUAUGUGUUGUUGGGUAGGGGAGCGUUCUGUAAGCCUGCGAAGGUGACCUGUGAGGGUUGCUGGAGGUAUCAGAAGUGCGAAUGCUGACAUAAGUAACGAUAAAGCGGGUGAAAAGCCCGCUCGCCGGAAGACCAAGGGUUCCUGUCCAACGUUAAUCGGGGCAGGGUGAGUCGACCCCUAAGGCGAGGCCGAAAGGCGUAGUCGAUGGGAAACAGGUUAAUAUUCCUGUACUUGGUGUUACUGCGAAGGGGGGACGGAGAAGGCUAUGUUAGCCGGGCGACGGUUGUCCCGGUUUAAGCAUGUAGGCUGAUUAUCCAGGCAAAUCCGGAUAAUCAAGGCUGAGGUGUGAUGACGAGGCACUACGGUGCUGAAGUAACAAAUGCCCUGCUUCCAGGAAAAGCCUCUAAGCAUCAGGUAACAUUAAAUCGUACCCCAAACCGACACAGGUGGUCAGGUAGAGAAUACCAAGGCGCUUGAGAGAACUCGGGUGAAGGAACUAGGCAAAAUGGUGCCGUAACUUCGGGAGAAGGCACGCUGGUGUGUAGGUGAAGUCCCUGCGGAUGGAGCUGAGACCAGUCGAAGAUACCAGCUGGCUGCAACUGUUUAUUAAAAACACAGCACUGUGCAAACACGAAAGUGGACGUAUACGGUGUGACGCCUGCCCGGUGCCGGAAGGUUAAUUGAUGGGGUUAUCCGUAAGGAGAAGCUCUUGAUCGAAGCCCCGGUAAACGGCGGCCGUAACUAUAACGGUCCUAAGGUAGCGAAAUUCCUUGUCGGGUAAGUUCCGACCUGCACGAAUGGCGUAAUGAUGGCCAGGCUGUCUCCACCCGAGACUCAGUGAAAUUGAACUCGCUGUGAAGAUGCAGUGUACCCGCGGCAAGACGGAAAGACCCCGUGAACCUUUACUAUAGCUUGACACUGAACAUUGAGCCUUGAUGUGUAGGAUAGGUGGGAGGCUUUGAAGCGUGGACGCCAGUCUGCGUGGAGCCAACCUUGAAAUACCACCCUUUAAUGUUUGAUGUUCUAACGUUGGCCCCUGACCGGGGUUGCGGACAGUGUCUGGUGGGUAGUUUGACUGGGGCGGUCUCCUCCCAAAGCGUAACGGAGGAGCACGAAGGUUAGCUAAUCCUGGUCGGACAUCAGGAGGUUAGUGCAAUGGCAUAAGCUAGCUUGACUGCGAGCGUGACGGCGCGAGCAGGUGCGAAAGCAGGUCAUAGUGAUCCGGUGGUUCUGAAUGGAAGGGCCAUCGCUCAACGGAUAAAAGGUACUCCGGGGAUAACAGGCUGAUACCGCCCAAGAGUUCAUAUCGACGGCGGUGUUUGGCACCUCGAUGUCGGCUCAUCACAUCCUGGGGCUGAAGUAGGUCCCAAGGGUAUGGCUGUUCGCCAUUUAAAGUGGUACGCGAGCUGGGUUUAGAACGUCGUGAGACAGUUCGGUCCCUAUCUGCCGUGGGCGCUGGAGAAUUGAGGGGGGCUGCUCCUAGUACGAGAGGACCGGAGUGGACGCAUCACUGGUGUUCGGGUUGUCAUGCCAAUGGCACUGCCCGGUAGCUAAAUGCGGAAGAGAUAAGUGCUGAAAGCAUCUAAGCACGAAACUUGCCCCGAGAUGAGUUCUCCCUGAGACUUUAAGUCUCCUGAAGGAACGUUAAAGACGAUGACGUUGAUAGGCCGGGUGUGUAAGCGCAGCGAUGCGUUGAGCUAACCGGUACUAAUGAACCGUGAGGCUUAACCUU